rnacentral:rRNA from 1 species
UAGGGAAUCUUCCGCAAUGGACGAAAGUCUGACGGAGCGACGCCGCGUGAGCGAAGAAGGCCUUCGGGUUGUAAAGCUCUGUUGUCAGGGAAGAACAAGUACCGUUCGAACAGGGCGGUACCUUGACGGUACCUGACGAGGAAGCCACGGCUAACUACGUGCCAGCAGCCGCGGUAAUACGUAGGUGGCAAGCGUUGUCCGGAAUUAUUGGGCGUAAAGCGCGCGCAGGCGGUCCCUUAAGUCUGAUGUGAAAGCCCACGGCUUAACCGUGGAGGGUCAUUGGAAACUGGGGGACUUGAGUGCAGAAGAGGAGAGCGGAAUUCCACGUGGAGCGGUGAAAUGCGUAGGGAUGUGGAGGAACACCAGUGGCGAAGGCGGCUCUCUGGUCUGUAACUGACGCUGAGGCGCGAAAGCGUGGGGAGCAAACAGG